GCCGGGCGCGGUGGCUCAAGCCUGUAAUCCUAGCACUUUGGGAGGCCGAGACGGGCGGAUCACAAGGUCAGGAGAUCGAGACCAUCCUGGCUAACACGGUGAAACCCCGUCUCUACUAAAAAAUACAAAAAACUAGCCGGGCGCGGUGGCGGGCCACUGUGGUCCCAGCUACUCGGGAGGNNNNNNNNNNCCUCCCGAGUAGCUGGGACCACAGUGGCCCGCCACCAUGCCCAGCUAAUUUUUUGUAUUUUUUAGUAGAGACGGGGUUUCACCAUGUUAGCCAGGAUGGUCUCGAUCUCCUGACCUUGUGAUCCGCCCGCCUCGG
rfam:Chlorocebus sabaeus isolate 1994-021 chromosome 18, whole genome shotgun sequence.